ACACACUCCGGCGAGCGGCCCUACGGCUGCGCGCUCUGCGGGCAGCGGUUCAGUCAGAAGCCCGCGCUCAACAGGCACUACCGGGUGAGCGCUCUACACACAGACAGAUAAGUGAACACACUCCGGCGAGCGGCCCUACGGCUGCGCGCUCUGCGGGCAGCGGUUCAGUCAGAAGCCCGCGCUCAACAGGCACUACCGGGUGAGCGCUCUACACACAGACAGAUAAGUGAACACACUCCGGCGAGCGGCCCUACGGCUGCGCGCUCUGCGGGCAGCGGUUCAGUCAGAAGCCCGCGCUCAACAGGCACUACCGGGUGAGCGCUCUACACACAGACAGAUAAGUGAACACACUCCGGCGAGCGGCCCUACGGCUGCGCGCUCUGCGGGCAGCGGUUCAGUCAGAAGCCCGCGCUCAACAGGCACUACCGGGUGAGCGCUCUACACACAGACAGAUAAGUGAACACACUCCGGCGAGCGGCCCUACGGCUGCGCGCUCUGCGGGCAGCGGUUCAGUCAGAAGCCCGCGCUCAACAGGCACUACCGGGUGAGCGCUCUACACACAGACAGAUAAGUGAACACACUCCGGCGAGCGGCCCUACGGCUGCGCGCUCUGCGGGCAGCGGUUCAGUCAGAAGCCCGCGCUCAACAGGCACUACCGGGUGAGCGCUCUACACACAGACAGAUAAGUGAACACACUCCGGCGAGCGGCCCUACGGCUGCGCGCUCUGCGGGCAGCGGUUCAGUCAGAAGCCCGCGCUCAACAGGCACUACCGGGUGAGCGCUCUACACACAGACAGAUAAGUGAACACACUCCGGCGAGCGGCCCUACGGCUGCGCGCUCUGCGGGCAGCGGUUCAGUCAGAAGCCCGCGCUCAACAGGCACUACCGGGUGAGCGCUCUACACACAGACAGAUAAGUGAACACACUCCGGCGAGCGGCCCUACGGCUGCGCGCUCUGCGGGCAGCGGUUCAGUCAGAAGCCCGCGCUCAACAGGCACUACCGGGUGAGCGCUCUACACACAGACAGAUAAGUGAACACACUCCGGCGAGCGGCCCUACGGCUGCGCGCUCUGCGGGCAGCGGUUCAGUCAGAAGCCCGCGCUCAACAGGCACUACCGGGUGAGCGCUCUACACACAGACAGAUAAGUGAACACACUCCGGCGAGCGGCCCUACGGCUGCGCGCUCUGCGGGCAGCGGUUCAGUCAGAAGCCCGCGCUCAACAGGCACUACCGGGUGAGCGCUCUACACACAGACAGAUAAGUGAACACACUCCGGCGAGCGGCCCUACGGCUGCGCGCUCUGCGGGCAGCGGUUCAGUCAGAAGCCCGCGCUCAACAGGCACUACCGGGUGAGCGCUCUACACACAGACAGAUAAGUGAACACACUCCGGCGAGCGGCCCUACGGCUGCGCGCUCUGCGGGCAGCGGUUCAGUCAGAAGCCCGCGCUCAACAGGCACUACCGGGUGAGCGCUCUACACACAGACAGAUAAGUGAACACACUCCGGCGAGCGGCCCUACGGCUGCGCGCUCUGCGGGCAGCGGUUCAGUCAGAAGCCCGCGCUCAACAGGCACUACCGGGUCCACACGGGGGCGAAGCCCUAUGAGUGUCACGUCUGCAACAAGCCCUUCAGUCAGUCCAAUUCGCUCAAAACACACAUACGGACGGUGCAUUUGCGACUGCCUCCGAACAAAAAGAAGAAAGAUACUCAAGAUGCAGAGAAAGUUAAUACAGAAGUUUUGUAAAUAUAUUGUACCUAAAUGUAAAUAAAUUAUUUUAUUGUAUGUAA